UUCACCAUUGUCUCCCUUCAACUUAAAGUAAUUUUUUCAUUUUCCUUAAUUUCACAUUUCCCUUCAUAAUUUUCCUAAAAUUUUUCCUUCAUGAUUUUCCAUAAUUUUCCCUUCAUAAUUUUCCUUAAUCUUUCAUUGAUUUCCCUUCAUUUUUCACUCAUUUUCACCAUUGUUUCCCUUCAUUUUAAACUCAUUUUUCCUUCAUUUUCCUUCAUUUCUCCUCAACUCCCUUCAAUUUUUCCAUAAUAUUCCCUUCAAUUUUUCCUUUAUUUUCCCUUCAUCAUUUUCCUUAAUUUUUCAUCGAUUUCCCUUCAUUUUUACUCAUUUUUCUUCAUUUUUUCACUCAUUUUCUCCAUUGUUUCCCUUCAAUUUAAAGUAAUUUCUUCUUCAUUUUCCUUCAUUUCUCCUCAACUCCCUUCAAUUUUUCCCAUUGUUUCCCUUCAUAAUUUUCCUUAAUUUUUCAUCGAUUUCCCAUCAUUUUUACUCAUUUUUCUUCAUUUUUUCACUCAUUUUCUCCAUUGUUUCCCUUCAAUUUAAAGUAAUUUCUUCUUCAUUUUCCUUCAUUUCUCCUCAACUCCCUUCAAUUUUUCCAUAAUAUUCCCUUCAUCAUUUUCCUUAAUUUUUCAUCGAUUUCCCUUCAUUUUUCACUCAUUUUUCUUCGUUUUUCACUCAUUUUUCUUCAUUUUUCACUCAUUUUCACCAUUGUUUCCUCUCAUUUUAAACUCGUUUUUUCCUUCAUUUUCCUUCAUUUCUCCUCAUUUCCCUUCCAUUUUUCCAUAAUAUUCCCUUCAAUUUUUCCAUAAUAUUCCCUUCAUCAUUUUCCUUAAUUUUUCAUCGAUUUCCCUUCAUUUUUCACUCAUUUUUCUUCGUUUUUCACUCAUUUUUCUUCAUUUUUCACUCAUUUUCACCAUUGUUUCCCUUCAUUUUAAACUCGUUUUUCCUCCAUCCUCCAUUCAGACCCGCUCGUUCCUGGCAGCAGAUUUCUCAGGCCAAGGAUUCUCCUGACAAAACGAAUUUUCCGUCGCUCGUCCAUCAUUCCCCCGAGCGCUCCCGUGCCCGGGAUGUUCCCCGUAAAUCAUCUCCAGAGGGGGAAAAAAAUCCUCGGCUCCUUCACCCCUCAAGGGCUUUGGGGUGAAAAUCAGCGAUUUUUGGGUUUUUAUUGCUUCUUCUGACGGGUGAUAAAUGGAGGACGAGGCGCUGAGUCAGAGGGGGGAAAAAAAAAAAUCGGAAUUAUUCACGUUGUCCUGAGCAAAGGGAUUGGGAAUGUGAAAACUGCCAGGGUUGGAAUUGGGGGAGAAAUCGAGGUUUUAGGGUCUGGAAUGAGGGAGAAAUUAAUGUUUAAAAUUGAUAAAAUCAGGUAAGAAAAUGAGGUUUGGGAGGUCUGGGAUUAGACAGAAAUUAAUGUUUUAAAGGGGUAAAACUGGGGGGAGAAAUUGAGAUUUUAGAAGCCUGGGAUUGGAAAGAAAUGAAGGGUUUAAAGGACUAAAAUUACAUAAAAUACUGAGAUUUU
rnacentral:lncRNA from 12 species